UACGUGAUGAUAGAUACGAUGGCUAUGGU
rnacentral:piRNA from 1 species